rnacentral:rRNA from 1 species
GUGGGGAAUCUUAGACAAUGGGGGAAACCCUGAUCUAGCCAUGCCGCGUGAGCGAUGAAGGCCUUAGGGUUGUAAAGCUCUUUCAGCUGGGAAGAUAAUGACGGUACCAGCAGAAGAAGCCCCGGCUAACUCCGUGCCAGCAGCCGCGGUAAUACGGAGGGGGCUAGCGUUGUUCGGAAUUACUGGGCGUAAAGCGCGCGUAGGCGGACCAGAAAGUUGGAGGUGAAAUCCCAGGGCUCAACCUUGGAACUGCCUUCAAAACUCCUGGUCUGGAGUUCGAGAGAGGUGAGUGGAAUUCCGAGUGUAGAGGUGAAAUUCGUAGAUAUUGGGAGGAACACCAGUGGCGAAGGCGGCUCACUGGCUCGAUACUGACGCUGAGGUGCGAAAGCGUGGGGAGCAAACAGGAUUAGAUACCCGAGUAGUCC